rnacentral:ncRNA from 1 species
UGGGAGGAGUUUUCUUUUCUUCUUAACAGCCUAACACCCUGGAAUUGGUUUAUCCGGAGAGGGGGUCUUAUGGCUGGAAGAGCGUCGCCCUUGCUGCGACGUCCGGUGCGCUUGCGACGGUCCUUGAAAAUCCGCAGGAAGGAAUAGUUUUCACGCCAAGUCGUACUCAUAACCGCAGCAGGUCUCCAAGGUUAACAGCCUCUAGUUGAUAGAAUAAUGU